GUGAAUCAUCGAAUCUUUGAACGCACAUUGCGCCCUUUGGCAUUCCUUAGGGCAUGCCUGUUCGAGCGUCAUCUAAACCUUCAAGCACUGCUUGAUGUUGGGCGUCUGUCCCGCCUCGGGUGUGGACUCGCCUUGAAAGUAUUGGCGGCCCGUGUGACGGCUUCGAGCGCAGCAGACGCGCGUCUCGUCUCCAUGCACCGGCGUCCAGCAAGCCUUACCCACUAAGUUUGACCUCGGAUCAGGUAGGGAUACCCGCUGAACUUAAGCAUAUCAAUAAGCGGAGGA
rnacentral:misc_RNA from 1 species